rnacentral:piRNA from 1 species
GCUUCUUGCUGUACAGACCUCUA